GACGAACGCUGGCGGCGUGCUUAACACAUGCAAGUCGAACGGAAAGGCCCUGCUUUUGUGGGGUGCUCGAGUGGCGAACGGGUGAGUAACACGUGAGUAACCUGCCCUUGACUUUGGGAUAACUUCAGGAAAAUGGGGCUAAUACCGGAUAGGAGCUCCUGCUGCAUGGUGGGGGUUGGAAAGUUUCGGCGGUUGGGGAUGGACUCGCGGCUUAUCAGCUGGUUGGUGGGGUAGUGGCUUACCAAGGCUUUGAAGGGUAGCCGGCCUGGGAGGGUGACCGGCCACAUUGGGACUGAGAGACGGCCCAGACUCCUACGGGAGGCAGCAGUGGGGAAUAUGGCACAAUGGGCGGAAGCCUGAUGCAGCAACGCCGCGUGCGGGAUGCCGGCCUUCGGGUUGUAAACCGCUUUCGCCUGUGACGAAGCGUGAUUGACGGUAAUUGGUAAAGAAGCACCGGCUAACUACGUG
rnacentral:rRNA from 1 species